rnacentral:rRNA from 1 species
AUACGGAGGUGGCAAGCGUUACUCGGAAUCAUUGGGUGUAAAGGGCAAGUAGGCGGCCUGAUAAGUGAGGGGUGAAAUCCUGCGACUCAAUCGCAGAAGUGCCUUUCAAACUGACAGGCUUGAGACAGGAAGAGGAAAAUGGAAUUCCUGGUGUAAGGGUGAAAUCUGUAGAUAUCAGGAAGAACACCGGCGGCGAAGGCGAUUUUCUGGUCCUGUUCUGACGCUAAAUUGCGAAAGCUAGGGGAGCAAACAGAAUUAGAUACCCCGGUAGUCC